ACUUGAGUUCGAUAGUGAAAAACUCUUUCUCCACUUUAUAUUUCUGCCCUGGCCAAGGUCUUAGAACUCAGUCUAACAAAUCACAUAGGAUCACUCCUCUUCUAUCAAGGUCGAUAGAUUCCAUGUAAGUGCAUACCCUACUCCUACAGUGAACUUACUGCAGCCAAUCUACACUACAAGGACCCAUAUGGCUAGAGACCAUGUAUACGUGUAGUCAAACUACAAUAACCUCACUGUGAGUAGCCGAAGCACCGCAGGUCAAAGGACCAGUCAUACUACUGCAACAUCAAGCAAGUCACUGACGAGUGGAUAGACAUCCAAGUGACUUCUUGUCUUGGUCACGCUCAGUACCCUUGUUCUCUAACAAGCACCUGCACUAUCACUUCAGUGUCCCUACACUGUGGACUCGAGUCUCGUCCAUCCAGAAGAAAAGUGAUCUGUGCACUGAUCGGAUCGGUCACCGUCCUCGUGAUGAUCCAUUG
rnacentral:lncRNA from 1 species